UACGGGGGGGCAAGCGUUGUUCGGAAUUACUGGGCGUAAAGGGCUCGUAGGCGGCCAACUAAGUCAGACGUGAAAUCCCUCGGCUUAACCGGGGAACUGCGUCUGAUACUGGUUGGCUUGAGUGUGGGAGAGGGAUGCGGAAUUCCAGGUGUAGCGGUGAAAUGCGUAGAUAUCUGGAGGAACACCGGUGGCGAAGGCGGCAUCCUGGACCAUUACUGACGCUGAGGAGCGAAAGCCAGGGGAGCAAAGCGGG
rnacentral:rRNA from 1 species